rnacentral:rRNA from 1 species
GGCGGCGUGCUUAACACAUGCAAGUCGAACGAGAACGGAUUAUAGCUUGCUAUAAUUGUCAGCUAAGUGGCGCACGGGUGAGUAAUGUAUAGGUAAUAUGCCUCUUACUAAGGGAUAACAAAUGGAAACGUUUGCUAAUACCUUAUACUCCUUAUUAACAUAAGUUAAUAAGGGAAAGAUUUAUUGGUAAGAGAUUAGCCUGUAUUGUAUCAGUUAGUUGGUGGGGUAAUGGCUUACCAAGACUAUGACACAUAACUGGUUUGAGAGGAUGAUCAGUCACACUGGAACUGAGACACGGUCCAGACUCCUACGGGAGGCAGCAGUGGGGAAUAUUGCACAAUGGACGAAAGUCUGAUGCAGCAACGCCGCGUGGAGGAUGACACAUUUCGGUGCGUAAACUCCUUUUAUAUGAGAAGAUAAUGACGGUAUUAUAUGAAUAAGCACCGGCUAACUCCGUG